rnacentral:rRNA from 1 species
AAGCUCACCCUAGCCCAACUACAUGUAAUAUCUUACACCAAAUAAACCAACUACCCCUAUUUUAACCAAAACAUUUGUUUCCAACUUAGUAUAGGCGAUAGAAAAGACUCUUGGCGCAAUAGAAAUUUGUACCGUAAGGGAAAGAUGAAAUAAAAAUGAAAAACAAAGCACUAAAAAGCAAAGAUUAACCCUUGUACCUCUUGCAUCAUGAUUUAGCAAGAACAACCAAGCAAAACGAACUUAAGCUUGCCCUCCCGAAACUCAAGCGAGCUACUUGCAAGCAGCUAUAAGUGAGCGAACCCGUCUCUGUUGCAAAAGAGUGGGAUGACUUGCUAGUAGAGGUGAAAAGCCAAUCGAGCUGAGUGAUAGCUGGUUGCCUGUGAAACGAAUCUAAGUUCCCUCUUGACCCUCUCCCCAAGGACACUUAAACCCUAAUGUGACGGAUCUAGAACAAUUUAAAGGGGGUACAGCCCCUUUAAAAAAGAAAACAAUCUCCACUAGCGGAUAAUCAACAACACCUUAUCAAACUGUAGGCCUUCAAGCAGCCACCAAUAAAGAGUGCGUCAUAGCUCUAUAUUAAAAAAUCAAACAACAAAAUGACUCCCUUCCUACUAACGGGCCAACCUAUCAUUAAUAGGAGAAUUAAUGCUAUAAUGAGUAACUAGGAGCUUUUUUCCCCCUCUCGAGCGCAAGCUUACAUCCCACAUUAUUAACAGACUACAAACCAAUAUUUCAACCAAACAAGAUUAAAAUAUUGAACCAACCCUGUUACCCCAACCCAGGUGCGCCUAACUAGAAAGAUUAAAAUCUGUAAAAGGAACUAGGCAAACCCAAGGCCCGACUGUUUACCAAAAACAUAGCCUUCAGCCAACCAAGUAUUGAAGGUGAUGCCUGCCCAGUGACAUAACGUUUAACGGCCGCGGUAUCCUAACCGUGCGAAGGUAGCGCAAUCAAUUGUCCCAUAAAUCGAGACUUGUAUGAAUGGCUAAACGAGGUCUUAACUGUCUCUUACAGAUAAUCAGUGAAAUUGAUCUUCCCGUGCAAAAGCAGGAAUACCUACAUAAGACGAGAAGACCCUGUGGAACUUAAAAAUCAACGGCCACUGCAAGCAAACCUAAUCCUACCAGGCCCACUGCCUCAAAAUACUGGCCCACAUUUUUCGGUUGGGGCGACCUUGGAGAAAAGUAAAUCCUCCAAGAAUAAGACUAUACCUCUUAACCAAGAACAACCCCUCGACGUGCUAACAGCAACCAGACCCAAUAUAAUUGAGCAACGGACCAAGCUACCCCAGGGAUAACAGCGCAAUCUCCUCUAAGAGCCCACAUCGACGAGGAGGUUUACGACCUCGAUGUUGGAUCAGGACACCCUAAUGGUGCAGCCGCUAUUAAGGGUUCGUUUGUUCAACGAUUAACAGUCCUACGUGAUCUGAGUUCAGACCGGAGCAAUCCAGGUCGGUUUCUAUCUAUGACCAACUUUCCCUAGUACGAAAGGACCGGAAAAGUGAGGCCAAUACCUACAGGCACGCCUCCUAUCUAAGUAAUGACCCCAACUGAAUUACAAAGACACCCACACCACAUACUCCUAGAAAAGGAUUA